ensembl:lncRNA
CAGCAGGUAGCCUAGUGGUUAGAGUGUAGGGACGGCAGGUAGCCUAAUGGUUAGAGUGUAGGGGCGGCAGGUAGCCUAGCGGUUAGAGUGUAGGGACGGCAGGUAGCCUAGUGGUUAGAGUGUAGGGACGGCAGGUAGCCUAGUGGUUAGAGUGUAGGGACGGCAGGUAGCCUAGUGGUUAGAGUGUAGGGACGGCAGGUAGCCUAGCGGUUAGAGUGUAGGGACGGCAGGUAGCCUAGCGGUUAGAGCGUAGGGGCGGCAGGUAGCCUAGUGGUUAGAGUGUAGGGACGGCAGGUAGCCUAGUGGUUAGAGUGUAGGGGCGGCAGGUAGCCUAGUGGUUAGAGUGUAGGGGCGGCAGGUAGCAUAGUGGUUAGAGUGUAGGGGCGGCAGGUAGCCUAGUGGUUAGAGUGUAGGGGCGGCAGGUAGCAUAGUGUGUUAGAGUGUAGGGACGGCAGGUAGACUAGUGGUUAGAGUGUAGGGACGGCAGGUAGACUAGUGGUUAGAGUGUAGGGACGGCAGGUAGCCUAGUGGUUAGAGUGUAGGGACGGCAGGUAGCCUAGUGGUUAGAGUGUAGGGGCGGCAGGUAGCCUAGUGGUUAGAGUGUAGGGACGGCAGGUAGCCUAGUGGUUAGAGUGUAGGGACGGCAGGUAGCCUAGUGGUUAGAGUGUAGGGGCGGCAGGUAGCCUAGUGGUUAGAGUGUUGGGACGGCAGGUAGCCUAGUGGUUAGAGUGUAGGGGCGGCAGGUAGCCUAGUGGUUAGAGUGUAGGGGCGGCAGGUAGCCUAGUGGUUAGAGUGUAGGGACGGCAGGUAGCCUAGUGGUUAGAGUGUUGGGAC